rnacentral:rRNA from 1 species
UACGUAUGGUGCAAGCGUUAUCCGGAUUUACUGGGUGUAAAGGGAGCGCAGGCGGCACGGCAAGCCUGAUGUGAAAGCCCGCGGCCCAACCGCGGGACUGCAUUGGGAACUACUGGGCUGGAGUGCCGGAGAGGUAGGCGGAAUUCCUAGUGUAGCGGUGAAAUGCGUAGAUAUUAGGAGGAACACCAGUGGCGAAGGCGGCCUACUGGACGGUGACUGACGCUGAGGCUCGAAAGCGUGGGGAGCAAACAGG